rnacentral:rRNA from 1 species
UGAGGAAUAUUGGGCAAUGGGCGAGAGCCUGACCCAGCCAUGCCGCGUGCAGGAAGACGGUCCUAUGGAUUGUAAACUGCUUUUAUACGGGAAGAAACACUCCGACGCGUCGGAGCUUGACGGUACCGUAAGAAUAAGGAUCGGCUAACUCCGUGCCAGCAGCCGCGGUAAUACGGAGGAUCCAAGCGUUAUCCGGAAUCAUUGGGUUUAAAGGGUCCGUAGGCGGGUCUAUAAGUCAGUGGUGAAAUCCGGCAGCUCAACUGUCGAACUGCCAUUGAUACUGUAGGUCUUGAAUUUUUGUGAAGUAGCUAGAAUAUGUAGUGUAGCGGUGAAAUGCUUAGAUAUUACAUGGAAUACCGAUUGCGAAGGCAGGUUACUAACAAAACAUUGACGCUGAGGG